AUUCUAAAUUACUCCAUCAUUCGGCAAUCCUUGACUUUCUUAAGUUUAUUUACCUUUGUUGCGAAACUAGCGAAGAAGGGACAUUGGUGAAAAAAAUUACUUGUUAAAUAAAUUAUUGAUUGGGAAAAUAUUAUGUUGUUCAUCACUCUCUGCCUCAUUGCAUUUGCUGGGAGCUCUUCAUGGAUAUCAGUAGAAAGUGCUACACCAGACCAGUCCCCCUCACCAGUCCGGACCAAGUAUUUUGUGAGGCAGUCAGGUCGAGACGGAGAGGAUGUUUCUGUUCUGGCCCUGCCAUUAUCAGCCAGUGAGGAGUCCUCAAACAGCCUAGCAAAUGAACCAGCAGGUCACAAUGUUGAAGCUGCAGCAGCUGGUGGUAAAGUACAGCUGCCUCUGACAGAUGUGAACCUGCUAAGUCAGGGAGACAUACAAAAUCCAUUACCUGAGCAGGGAGGUGACCAAUCACCAUCAGAGCUGGCAGAAAACGCUGAUACUUCAGAGGCUGGAUCUACCAACAAGCAAAGCCAGAGGCCCAUUUAUGGUACUGGGCAGGCAAAAGUCACCCUAGAAGAACCAUCUGAGAAGUCACCAGCCCUCUCCACCCCCUCUGAGCCAGGAUCUCCAGCCUUGACAGGCACAACAGCCACUGAGCUUGUCUCUCUGACUGAGCUCGACACUCGUGACCUGCCUGCGCGCGCCGAAGUCACGCCAUCCCCAGCCCAGCGGCCGGUCGCCGGCGCGGGGGAGCUGCCCGUCUCCCUGGACGGAGCCGCGGUGAUCGGACGCAGCCGACACAGGCCGGAGCCGGGUCUGGCUCCCUCGGAAAGGAAGCCCAGCAGUCGACGAAACGGCGUGCCACAGCUGGAGAUGCUCGAGAGCCGCUCCAAGCCCAGGAAGGGUGUGCCGGCGCCGCCGCAGCCGCCUGAACCGGCCCCGGACGUGGGCAAGCAAGGACAGAGCAGUCGAAGGACCGGUGUACCGGAUUUGGACAUGUUGGAAAACCUGUCCAAGCCAAGGAAGGGAGCACCGAAGCCGGGUCUGAAUGUGUCAGGAAGUGGACAAAGUAGCCGAAGGACCGGGGUUCCCGACCUGGAAAUGCUGGAAAACCUGUCCAAGCCGCGGAAGGGAGCACCAGAGCCGGGGUUGGUUGUAUCAGGGAGCGGAAAGAGUACAGGUAGAACCGGAGUGCCUGAUCUGGAAAUGCUCGAGAGCCUGUCAAAGCCGAGAAAGGGCGCACCAGAGCCGGGUUUGAGUGUGUCAGGGAGAGGACAAAGUGCUGGUAGAUCCGGGGUGCCGGAUUUGGACAUGCUUGAGAGCCUGUCGAAGCCAAGGAAGGGUGCACCAGAGUUGGAUCUUACUGUAUCAGGGAGUGGUAGAAUUACUGGUAGAACCGGAGUGCCCGAUUUGGAGAUGUUGGAGAAUCCUUCCAAGCCGAGGAAGGGCGUUCCGGAGCCGCCGCCGGGGUGGGACGGGUCGGCGGCGGGGGGCGAUGGUGCGGCGGGCACGCACCGGCUGUCGGAGGAGGGCGCCGCGGCGCUCACCAACCUGGCCAAGGCGCGCGCGGCCGUCAUCGUGGGCUCCGUGUUCGGCGUGCUGUCGCUGCUCGUGCUGGCCUGGUACGGUGUGCGGCGCGUGACCGACAGCUGGCAGCACAGACACUACCGCAAAAUGGACUUCCUCGUCGACGGCAUGUACAAUAUGUGAGCGGCCCGCCGCCGCCGCCGCGUCCGCCGGCCGUACAUCGGGUGGCCGGCACCUCGAGCUUUGUGUCCGAGCGCGGGCACGUUAGGGUAGCGUUGGUGUUAUUUUUGUAUAUCCUGUGUGCUUUGGCGGCUUGUCUAGCCAGCGCGAGGCGCCGCUCACUAAACAAACCUGUGAUAUUGAGAUUUGUACCGUUACUACUGAAUACUCGUCCCGCACUGAAGUGUGUGCUUUGAACACUAUUGCCCGUGUCACACGUUGCACCCCCGUUGAGAGUUGGUGCAUCGAAGCACGUGUUUUUCUUAUAUACAAUGGGUGCCGAUUCCACUUAGCAUGAAAUAUUUUAUCGUUCUGCACAACGGCAUUCUGGCGAUGUGCUGAAUUAGUGCAACUUUUUUACCGUUCGUUCCAUAAUGGCAAUUGCCAGCCUGCUCAGCUUCGGGGUCUGUGUGUAUCCGCUUGAGAUCUGAUAUGAACUACCAUUCGGCAAAUAUCUUCUACAUUCCCCGUCGGGGCUAAGAUUGGUCACUGUGCGCGCGGUCCCCGUCCGCAGCACAGCGGUCUGUUCCGACCGGCCAGCGCCGCUCUACGUGCCGAUUGUACCGGGUGUGUAGACUGUAAUGUGUGUACGCACGGUGAGCAAUGUUUAUACACACGACCGGCCGGUAGUUUAGCGCUGUCAUACACGCGUCAUUUGCUCCCGUCGGUGUGGAGCUCGCCGUCCGAGUGUAUCGUACAAGCAGCCUGUCCGGGAACGGCGGAGUUGCCGUGACCAAGGACCAACAUCCACGUACAAUAAAUGCACGUUAUUACCAA